UCGAGGAUCUUCGGCAAUGGGCGCAAGCCUGACCGAGCGACGCCGCGUGUGCGAUGAAGGCCUUCGGGUUGUAAAGCACUGUCGAGGGGGAGGAAAGCCCGCAAGGGUCUGACUAAUCCCUGGAGGAAGCACGGGCUAAGUUCGUGCCAGCAGCCGCGGUAAGACGAACCGUGCAAACGUUGUUCGGAUUCACUGGGCUUAAAGGGCGCGUAGGCGGGUGGUCAAGUCAGGGGUGAAAUCUUUCAGCUCAACUGGAAAACAGCUUCUGAUACUGGCCAUCUUGAGGGAGGUAGGGGCAUGUGGAACUUCCGGUGGAGCGGUGAAAUGCGUAGAUAUCGGAAGGAACGCCGGUGGCGAAAGCGACGUGCUGGACCUUUUCUGACGCUGAGGCGCGAAAGCCAGGGGAGCAAACGG
rnacentral:rRNA from 1 species